AUACUUACCUUGUGCAGGGAUAACCGUGGUCAAAAGGGCGGUUUCCCCAGGGUGAGGUCUGUCCAUUGCACAGCGGACAGACUGGCCCCUGCGAUCCCUAAUGGUGAUUCGGGCACGCAAUUUAUUAGUGUGGGGAUCUGCGUUCGCGCUCAUCCCCG